GAUGAACGCUGGCGGCGUGCCUAAUACAUGCAAGUCGAGCGAACGGACGAGAAGCUUGCUUCUCUGAUGUUAGCGGCGGACGGGUGAGUAACACGUGGAUAACCUACCUAUAAGACUGGGAUAACUUCGGGAAACCGGAGCUAAUACCGGAUAAUAUUUUGAACCGCAUGGUUCAAAAGUGAAAGACGGUCUUGCUGUCACUUAUAGAUGGAUCCGCGCUGCAUUAGCUAGUUGGUAAGGUAACGGCUUACCAAGGCAACGAUGCAUAGCCGACCUGAGAGGGUGAUCGGCCACACUGGAACUGAGACACGGUCCAGACUCCUACGGGAGGCAGCAGUAGGGAAUCUUCCGCAAUGGGCGAAAGCCUGACGGAGCAACGCCGCGUGAGUGAUGAAGGUCUUCGGAUCGUAAAACUCUGUUAUUGGGGAAGAACAUAUGUGUAAGUAACUGUGCACAUCUUGACGGUACCUAAUCAGUAAGCCACGGCUAACUACGUG
rnacentral:rRNA from 1 species